AAUUGGACUGAUGGAGGACAGGUUAGACAGUGUAGAUGCCAUGCGUGCUGUCUGGUGAUUACAGACUUCAGAAGCUCGGGCUUUGCUUGUUGGCCAACAGGGUGCUAGUGGUCAGUGCUGUUAGUGAGAGCCUCUCUUCUGAGAUUGUCAUACCUGCCUACUUAGACAGCUUACGGCCUUUGAUUUUCAUUCAGGACUGAUUCAUUGAUCCUAUCAAAGUUUUACUGUUAUUACUCUCUUGCCCUUUUUACUUAAAUUCCAUCCUUUAAUAAAGUGAAUGAAGAAAAACAAGUUUAUACUAGCAAUUUCUGCUUCCAGUUCAUGACUGCGAGCUUCAUGUGAGCCCCUGAUACUGUUUAGAGAUCACGGCAUCUCCCUGCCUCUUCACCCUCACUUUCUGCCAGUACUUUCCUAUCUUCUCUGUAAGCAGGACUCUAUGCCUUUCUUCCGCCUUCCACCUUCUGGCGGUCCUGACACCGCACUUUCACCUUGUGUUCUCUUCUGUUCUCUUGUUCUCUGUUCUCUAAAGGAUGGAUUCAUGAGCCGUUUUGUAAUUGAAGAUAGUUUAUUUUUCCAUAUGGUGUAUUCUGAUCAGGGUCUCCCCUCCAUCAUCUGUUCCCAGAUUCUACCCUGCACCUACCCAUCCAAUGGUAAGCCUUCUUUUCUCUUUCUUUGGAAAACAUACAGACCAAUUUAAAAACAAAGACAGCAGCAACAACAACAAAACAAAAACCAAUAGAUCAAACAAACACAAAAUCAGAAAACAUACUAAAUAAAAGACAAAUAAAGGGUUUUUUGUUGUGGUUGUUUUGUUUUUAAAAAUGGCCUAAACAAAGCAUUAUGAGACCAAACAUCUCCAAAAACACUAGUUUUUUGUUGAUCAUGUACUGCUAGGCAUGGGGCCUCCCUUAAAGUAGUUUGUAUACCUAGUCAGAUUCUGCUGGAGAAAACUAAUUUUUCCUUUGCAGGCUGUCAGUUGUCUCAGGUUUGGGAUUAGGAAUGGGGACUUGUGUCCACAUCCCUCUCUUAGCACUGACCUAUGCAGGGCCUGUGCAUGCUGCCACAGUGUCUGAGUUCAUAUGUGUGUCAGUCUUGUGUCUGGAAGACACCGUUUCCUUAGUGUCUUCUAUCCCCAUUGAUCUUAACAAUAGUGCACUGUGUGCUGAGCAGAAGGCCAGCCUGAUGAAUCCCUGCCUGGAUUAUGGGUUAUAGUCAGUAUGUAGCUUUUUUGGGUUCACUGAUUUUUGUUCAUAAGCCCACAAAGUUUUCAAAACAUUUUAGUGGCUGCAAUUUGUUUAUGUGUCUCCCAUGGAGUCAUUGUCAUAGUGACUCAGAAUCAGUUCUUGUGAAUGAUGCACACAUGGUUUGACAGAGGUCAGAUUCUGGUCAAUGAUGUAUCCAUGGUUACACAGAGCCUGCCAUGUUCUGGAGGAACCUGGAGGUGGUAACUGCUGCAGGGCCCUGGGGGAGCACUACUUGAGCACUGGUUUGCUCUGGCACAUUCAUCCUGCCUUCUUACACCCAGGACCACCACCACAUGCCCGUCAGUAGGCUGGGCCUUCCCACAUCAGUGACUAAGUCAGAAAAUGCACUGCAGUCUUGCCCACAGGCAGAUCUUAUGGACUUAUGGAGGCUUUCUCUCUCUCUCUCUCUCUCUCUCUCUCUCUCUCUUUGGUUUUUUUGAGACAGGGUUUCUCUGUAUAGCCCCAGCUAUCCUGGAACUCACUCUGUAGACCAGGCUGGCCUCGAACUCAGAAAUCCACCUGCCUCUCGCCUCUGCCUCUCGCCUCUGCCUCUCGCCUCUGCCUCUGCCUCUGCCUCUGCCGCCUCUGCCUCCUCUGCCUCCCGAGUGCUGGGAUUAAAGGCAUGCACCACCACAACUGGCUGGCAUUUUCUUAAUUGAGGGUCUGUCUUCCCAUGUAACUGUAGUGUGCAGAGUUGACAAUAAACUAGUCAGCACUGAGGCGGGAUGUAGGGAGGAACUCAAGGAAGGCAGGAGCCUGGAAACAGGAGCUAAAGCAGAAGGCAUGGAGGAGUGCUGCUGCUGACUGGCUCUCCAUGGCUUGCUCAGCCGACUUUUCUACACAACCCAGGACCACGUCCUGGGGAUGGCACCACACAGGAAGCUGAGCCGUCCCACAUCAGCCAUUAACCAAUACAAUCUCCCACAGACUUCCUACAGACCAGCCUGAUGGAGGCAUUUUCUUCCCACAGAAAUCUAGCUUUGUGUCAAGUUGACGAAAACCAACCAGCAAAAACCAUUUAUCAACACACAUUGAACCAUAAAUCCCUUUGUGCCAAACCCUGUGUUAAGCCCUGAAGCUGAAGCAAUGAAUUAAACAUUACUUACUCUC
rnacentral:lncRNA from 1 species